rnacentral:rRNA from 1 species
AGGACGAACGCUGGCGGCGUGCUUAACACAUGCAAGUCGAACGGAAAGGCCCUGCUUUUGUGGGGUGCUCGAGUGGCGAACGGGUGAGUAACACGUGAGUAACCUGCCCUUGACUUUGGGAUAACUUCAGGAAACUGGGGCUAAUACCGGAUAGGAGCUCCUGCUGCAUGGUGGGGGUUGGAAAGUUUCGGCGGUUGGGGAUGGACUCGCGGCUUAUCAGCUUGUUGGUGGGGUAGUGGCUUACCAAGGCUUUGACGGGUAGCCGGCCUGAGAGGGUGACCGGCCACGAUUGGGACUGGAGACUACGGCCCAGACUCCUACGGGGAGCGAGCAGGUCGGGGAAUAUUGCACAAGUGGGCGAAGCCUGAUGCAGCAACGCCGACGUGGCGGGAUCGGAACGGCCGUUUACGGGGUUAGUAAACCCGUCGUUUCGCCGUUGUCGACGAAGUCGUAGAGUGAGGUAAGUAGGUAAAGAAGUCGACCGG